AGGUGCACGGUGUUUCCUCCGACACAUUAGUGCGGCUGGCUUCCGGGUUGGAUGCGCGCUGUGUUAAGAAGCAGUGCGGCUUGGUUGGGUUGUGUUUCGGAGGACGCAUGGCUUUCGACCUUCGUCUCUCCCGAGCCCGUAAGGGAGUUGUAGCGAUGAGACAAGAUAGUAAUUACUAUCAAUUGGAUACCACAAAAAUUGGGGAGAAAAAAGGGUAAAAUUUAAAAAUUUAAAAUAAAAAGAAAUAGACAUGGGUCAUUGAAAGUGCUUGAAUUUAUAUAUUUUGUGCAAGAAUAGAAAUUGAAGUUCUUUUGAUUUUUUUUUAAACGUAACGUCAGUAAUAGGCUACGUUCCGCUGUCUGCAUGUGUGUCUCUCGCCGUCUAUGCAUCCUUGUUUCACGCGCCACCCGCCUUGAGAAAGUGCGACGGUCAUGUGUUUGCAUGAGUGAUUGAAGUCGAAUGAUGCAUGUUAAAAACAGCCGCAAGCAAGCGAGAAAGAUAACGUCAAGCGAACCUUCAGCUAUGCCUGGAAAAUGUCAAUUCUAGGACUCGAAGCUAGAUCAUUCCGUCUUUUCGUGGUUGGGUAAAUUAACUUCAACGUUACAUAAUUAUUCUGUUAACGUUUGCUAUGUUGUUGUUAGCUAACGUUAUCUAGAUGUCUCAGUCAGUUCUCCCACUGAAUCACAGCUGUCAAUAUAGUGCUAGAUAGCUAACGUUAGCUAAGUUGUUAACGUUGCGUUAGCCAACUUGCGGCAAGCAGAGCUGGACAGUGAACAUUUAAAAUAAAUAACAUUAGCUGAAAGUUUACAUUUAGUUAAAGGGUGUUCACUAGAGUUGUUAGUGACAACAUUUCAUGACUAAUGCUAGCUAACGUUAGCCAGCUAGCUAGUCAUUCAUCAGACUUGGACACUUAUUUUCUCACAGCUCUCACUCUAUUGAAAUAUGUGGAAAAGUCAUCGUCAUCUACAUCACCACCUAGACAAUGUUCUACAACUACUACCACAUUCACCACCUCCUCAAGACAGACCGUCAUAACUGCCGUUCCCAAAGAGGACACAUUGCGGGCUGAGACAUUGUGGUGUCUGAAUAUGAUGGAGUCUCACUACUCUUUCCACUCUAGUGAACGCACGGGUGUGCUGUUCUCAGUUCCGGGGCUAAGUCCCGCUAUGUGUGCACACGUGGCUUGGCUCCUCAUUUCAAGCAUUUGUUGUCUAAAAAAACUGUCUGCUGGGGAAGAGGAUUAUGUACUUCUCAUUGAUGAGAGCCUUAACAGAAACAUACAGUCAAAGUGACUUUCACACCUGUUUAUGGGAUGAGGACAAAGUUCUGACGAGAUUUUAUGUUUCUAAAUUUCUGGGACAUGCGACUGCGUUGGACCUUAAAGUGGUCUACGAGAAGAGCACCGAAGAUCUACCAAAGAAAAACAUGGUUCAAAUCUCCAUGGAUGGACCAAAUGUAAAUGUGUCAUUUUACUCAAAGGUUGAGAAGUCAAUCCUAGAAUUGAAUGGUCUUUGUUACUCAAAGAAUUGUUAGAAACUUGUCCGCAGGGAAGAAAAUUGGACAGAAAACAUUGAUAGACUUCAAAAUCGCUUGCAAGAAGUGUAUGCUCACAACUGUUAAACUCUUUGAGAAAUCCCCAUUGAAGUACUCUCUGGUCUCACAUCUUUCUUUCUUGGAUGGAAAGAUGCUGUGUACAGCAAAAUUGAAGAAGGUCCUGACCUACCUUUUAAAUAGUCAUCGGGUGAAGGAAGAAGAUUGUGAUGACAUCAUUCGACAACACUCACAUUUAUUGAUGACAUUGUCCAGGCCCAACACUCAGUGUUGUAAACUUUGAUCCUGUCCAAGACAGCGUGGACACAUUUUUACAUGAGUAUAUGUCAAAGGACAAAGAGCUCGGAAAUCUAUGGAGACUUUGCCGCCAACUCCUCUUACUGUCACACGGGCAACUCCUCUUACUGUCACACGGGCAACUCCUCUUACUGUCACACGGGCAACUCCUCUUACUGUCACACGGGCAACUCCUCUUACUGUCACACGGGCAACUCCUCUUACUGUCACACGGGCAAGCUUCAGUAGAGCUCGGAUUCUCCAUCAAUCGGCAGGUUGAAGAGAACUUGAAAGAAGAUUCAUACGUAGCACAGAGAUGUAUUGAAAAAAAAGUGCUGUUUUUGCUCUGCGGCAUGUUGUGUGUUAAGCUGGUGCUAAUGAAAUAAACGAGGCGUUACAUAGCUCUUCAACUCGUAAAUAA